rnacentral:SRP_RNA from 1 species
GCCGGGCGAGGUGGCGGGCGCCUGUAGUCCCAGUUACUCGGGAGGCUGAGGCAGGAGAAUGGCGUAAACCCAGGAGGCGGAGCUGGCAGUGAGCUGAGAUCGGGCCACUGCCCUCCCGCCUGGGCGGGAUGNNNNNNNNNNCAUCCCGCCCAGGCGGGAGGGCAGUGGCCCGAUCUCAGCUCACUGCCAGCUCCGCCUCCUGGGUUUACGCCAUUCUCCUGCCUCAG